CCUCCAGACUCCUACGGGAGGCAGCAGUGGGGAAUAUUGCACAAUGGGGGAAACCCUGAUGCAGCGACGCCGCGUGAGUGAAGAAGUAUUUCGGUAUGUAAAGCUCUUUCAGCAGGGAAGAAAAUGACGGUACCUGACCAAGAAGCCCCGGCUAACUACGUGCCAGCAGCCGCGGUAAUACGUAGGGGGCAAGCGUUAUCCGGAUUUACUGGGUGUAAAGGGAGCGUAGACGGCAGGGCAAGUCUGGAGUGAAAGGCGGGGGCUCAACCCCCGGACUGCUCUGGAAACUGCCAGGCUGGAGUGCAGGAGAGGUAAGUGGAAUUCCUAGUGUAGCGGUGAAAUGCGUAGAUAUUAGGAGGAACACCAGUGGCGAAGGCGGCUUACUGGACUGUAACUGACGUUGAGGCUCGAAAGCGUGGGGAGCAAACAGGAUUAGAUACCCUCGUAAA
rnacentral:rRNA from 1 species